UUUCUUGCAUGUUCAAGGCAAAAUAUCAGCUUCAGGUGAAUCUGACUAUCUGCGUGAUUGGCUUGGCCGUAUCGGUGGCCAAUGCCAUCCUACUGAAAGGCCUCGCAUUGGGGGCCCUCGGGCUUGGUGCUGGAGCCCUACUUGGUGCCAGUCUGGCCCGAGGUGGUGGAGGCGGAGGGUACGGCCAUUACGGGGCGCCCUAUCCAGUGGCAUUUCACGGCGGAUAUGGACGUGGAUUUGGAGGUGGAUAUGGAGGACACUACAGCGGAGCCUACCACGGCACAUACCACGGAAGUUACGGUGGCUACGGGGGUGGCUUUGGCCAUGGCUUUGGUCCUGGCUUCUAGUUGUCCUGAAGAACAUUGUAGUACCAAGCGAAAUGUCACACAGAUUUGGACUGCCCUCACCUACGGAAAGUUUCUACCUCAGCACCGAAAUUGCGCAGUGGAAUUGGUUCAACAAACAAAACAUUGUACAUAGUGUUCUCCUAUCUUGAACAAAUUACCUAAAUAAAAU